rnacentral:snRNA from 1 species
AUACUUACCUGGCAGGGGAGAUAACAAGAUCACGAAGGUGGUUUUCCCAGGGCGAGGCUUAUCCAUUGCACUCUGGAUGUGCUGACCCCUGCGAUUUCCCCAAAUGUGGGAAACUCGACUGCAUAAUUUGUGGUAGUGGGGGACUGCAUUUGUGCUUCCCCCUG